CCAUCUUUAAGAGUGCAUCACGGUUUGCUUUCUGAUGCUUCAAGAUGAACACGACGACCCAAAACAUUACUACAGGUAUGUCUUCCAGCAACCCUGAUCUCAGACCUGUCAAAACCAAUUCAAAUAACACAGCAUCUCGAUCGGAUUGGUUACUAUACACUGUUCCUGGAUCAGCUUUUGUGAUUGGGAUUGUCCUGUUCACAACCAUCUGCAAAACACGGCAGCGGA